rnacentral:rRNA from 1 species
GACGAACGCUGGCGGCGUGCUUAACACAUGCAGGUCGAACGGUGAAGGGGAGCUUGCUCCCCGGAUCAGUGGCGAACGGGUGAGUAACACGUGGGCAACCUGCCCCAGACUUCGGGAUAACGCUUCGAAAGAGGUGCUAAUACCGGAUACGAACUCCUUGGGCAUCCUGGGAGUUGGAAAGUUUUUCGGUCUGGGAUGGGCCCGCGGCCUAUCAGCUCGUUGGUGAGGUAACGGCUCACCAAGGCGACGACGGGUAGCCGGCCUGAGAGGGCGACCGGCCAAACUGGGACUGAGACACAGCCCAGACUCCUACGGGAGGCAGCAGUGGGGAAUAUUGCGCAAUGGGCGAAAGCCUGACGCAGCAACGCCGCGUGAGGGAUGACGGCCUUCGGGUUGUAAACCUCUUUCAGCAGGGAAGAAGCGAAAGUGACGGUACCUGCAGAAGAAGCACCGGCUAACUACGUGCCAGCAGCCGCCGUAACAC